rnacentral:rRNA from 1 species
CAAGGAAUUUUCGGCAAUGGGCGCAAGCCUGACCGAGCAACGCCGCGUGCAGGAUGACGGCCUUCGGGUUGUAAACUGCUUCUCUGGGGGAUGACAUGGACAGUACCCCAGGAACAAGCCCCGGCUAACUCUGUGCCAGCAGCCGCGGUAAGACAGAGGGGGCAAGCGUUGUCCGGAGUUACUGGGCGUAAAGCGAACGUAGGCGGUACGGUAAGUAAGGUGUGAAAGCCCCAGGCUUAACCUGGGGAGGUCAUCUUCGACUGCCGCACUCGAGACCUGCAGAGGAUCGUGGAAUUGCCGGUGUAGUGGUGAAAUGCGUAGAGAUCGGCAGGAACACCAAGGGCGAAAGCAGCGAUCUGGGCAGGGACUGACGCUGAGGUGCGAAAGCGUGGGGAGCGAA